UCCAGACUCCUACGGGAGGCAGCAGUGGGGAAUAUUGCACAAUGGGGGAAACCCUGAUGCAGCGACGCCGCGUGAGUGAAGAAGUAUUUCGGUAUGUAAAGCUCUAUCAGCAGGGAAGAUAAUGACGGUACCUGAGUAAGAAGCCCCGGCUAACUACGUGCCAGCAGCCGCGGUAAUACGUAGGGGGCAAGCGUUAUCCGGAUUUAUUGGGUUUAAAGGGUGCGCAGGCGGAGGUGCAAGUCAGUGGUCAAAUUGCGGGGCUCAACCCCGUACUGCCGUUGAAACUGCAUCCCUUGAGUGCGCGAGAAGUAUGCGGAAUGCGUGGUGUAGCGGUGAAAUGCAUAGAUAUCACGCAGAACUCCGAUUGCGAAGGCAGCAUACCGGCGCUCAACUGACGCUCAUGCACGAAAGCGUGGGUAUCGAACAGGAUUAGAUACCCGCGUACG
rnacentral:rRNA from 1 species